rnacentral:rRNA from 1 species
UACGGGGGGAGCAAGCGUUGUUCGGAUUUACUGGGCGUAAAGGGCGCGUAGGCGGCCACCGCAAGUCGGGCGUGAAAGCCCCGGGCUUAACCCGGGAAUGGCGCUCGAUACUGUUGAGCUAGAGUGUGGAAGGGGCUACUGGAAUUCCGUGUGUAGCGGUGAAAUGCGUAGAUAUCGGAAGGAACACCAGUGGCGAAAGCGGCUUCCUGGUCCAGCACCGACGUUCAGGCACGAAAGCGUGGGGAGCAAACAGG